AAGGCUGAGGUGUGAUGACGAGGCACUACGGUGCUGAAGUAACAAAUGCCCUGCUUCCAGGAAAAGCCUCUAAGCAUCAGGUAACAUUAAAUCGUACCCCAAACCGACACAGGUGGUCAGGUAGAGAAUACCAAGGCGCUUGAGAGAACUCGGGUGAAGGAACUAGGCAAAAUGGUGCCGUAACUUCGGGAGAAGGCACGCUGGUGUGUAGGUGAAGUCCCUGCGGAUGGAGCUGAGACCAGUCGAAGAUACCAGCUGGCUGCAACUGUUUAUUAAAAACACAGCACUGUGCAAACACGAAAGUGGACGUAUACGGUGUGACGCCUGCCCGGUGCCGGAAGGUUAAUUGAUGGGGUUAUCCGUAAGGAGAAGCUCUUGAUCGAAGCCCCGGUAAACGGCGGCCGUAACUAUAACGGUCCUAAGGUAGCGAAAUUCCUUGUCGGGUAAGUUCCGACCUGCACGAAUGGCGUAAUGAUGGCCAGGCUGUCUCCACCCGAGACUCAGUGAAAUUGAACUCGCUGUGAAGAUGCAGUGUACCCGCGGCAAGACGGAAAGACCCCGUGAACCUUUACUAUAGCUUGACACUGAACAUUGAGCCUUGAUGUGUAGGAUAGGUGGGAGGCUUUGAAGCGUGGACGCCAGUCUGCGUGGAGCCAACCUUGAAAUACCACCCUUUAAUGUUUGAUGUUCUAACGUUGGCCCCUUACCGGGGUUGCGGACAGUGUCUGGUGGGUAGUUUGACUGGGGCGGUCUCCUCCCAAAGCGUAACGGAGGAGCACGAAGGUUAGCUAAUCCUGGUCGGACAUCAGGAGGUUAGUGCAAUGGCAUAAGCUAGCUUGACUGCGAGCGUGACGGCGCGAGCAGGUGCGAAAGCAGGUCAUAGUGAUCCGGUGGUUCUGAAUGGAAGGGCCAUCGCUCAACGGAUAAAAGGUACUCCGGGGAUAACAGGCUGAUACCGCCCAAGAGUUCAUAUCGACGGCGGUGUUUGGCACCUCGAUGUCGGCUCAUCACAUCCUGGGGCUGAAGUAGGUCCCAAGGGUAUGGCUGUUCGCCAUUUAAAGUGGUACGCGAGCUGGGUUUAGAACGUCGUGAGACAGUUCGGUCCCUAUCUGCCGUGGGCGCUGGAGAAUUGAGGGGGGCUGCUCCUAGUACGAGAGGACCGGAGUGGACGCAUCACUGGUGUUCGGGUUGUCAUGCCAAUGGCACUGCCCGGUAGCUAAAUGCGGAAGAGAUAAGUGCUGAAAGCAUCUAAGCACGAAACUUGCCCCGAGAUGAGUUCUCCCUGAGACUU
rnacentral:rRNA from 1 species